ACGGAAGGGUUUUGGGUAAUUGGUAGAUAAGAAAUAAAAUCAUGUGAGCGGUUGGACAAGAACAUCAAGUAUUCGACCCUAUGAUUCUAUCAACAUUUCAGAAUCACACGAGCACAGCUAACCUCCCUCAUUGUCGUCUUGUUUUCUUUUCUUACUAAUGCUAUCUCUCUCUCUCUCUCUCUCUCUGUGUUGGGUGAUGAUUACGUAAUUCCACUAGCUUCUCCAGCAUGUACUUUAAGGAAGGUGCUGACCAGUGCUUCUGGCCGAUCAACAACAAUCGAUAGAAGGUAUAACAGUAGGCCAAAAACAAGUAAGAUUAACUUAAAGAAGGAAAAAUUAAGAUCAAAUGAAAAGAAAGAGAAACAAUUUGUGUACAUCAUAUUUUUUGUGUUAUAAAAUGAGUACAUGGGAUAGUUGUACAUAUCUCUCACUUCUACAUAUUUUGAAAAAUAGUGAAUGUACCGUUAUUUAGUAAGUUUUGUAUUGUUUUUCUAUUACGUUUGUAAUUAUAUUAAUACUAUGGUCUUGAUCGAUAAUGGUUUUUGCUUUAUUUGAUUAAUGAAAUAUUUUACCUUCAAAGAAAGUAGAACUAUAACAUUACGUUUCAAUGUUCUCAGUACACAUAAAAAUAUCUCUAUCGACAGAGGAGCUAGAGGAGAGGUUGUUAAGGAUGAGAGGCACAUGACAUGCACCAUUCAAUUCCCUAAUCUCCUCAUGUGUCACCCGUGAGUCAAAGUCAAACCCCCUCUCUCACGUGUCAAAUGUAGUUCGAUCACAUAUGUUCCCACUUUCACACGCUUCAACCCCUCCUCACUCAGAUAUUUUUUUUUUAAUUUUAUUUUAUAUAAUGAUCAAUUAAUAUAUACAUCAGGUCUCUAUAAAUUGAGCCUCCGAUGCUUAUGACAAAACCAGGCUGAGCUACCACAUAUGCUCUCUGCCCAGAUCAAAGAUGGAUAUAAAUUAACCAACUUAUAGAAUCUGAAGGAAGAGACUCUAUGCUAACUUUAUAUAUGGGUGAGUAGAUUCCAUGCGAUGCUUGUCAUGCGAGCAGUCCUUUCUUGGAUUGCCCUUUGUUUCGUUGUCUGUUCGACCUUGAUAUAAAA